GACGAACGCUGGCGGCGUGCUUAACACAUGCAAGUCGAGCGGGAACCUCGGCAGGGGGUAACCCUUCCGAGGGGAGAGCGGCGAACGGGUGAGUAACACGUGGGCAACCUGCCCCGGACACCGGGAUAACCCAGGGAAACCUGAGCUAAUACCGGAUACUCCGGCACGAUCGCAUGGUCGUGCCGGGAAAGCUCCGACGGUCCGGGAUGGGCCCGCGGCCUAUCAGCUUGUUGGUGAGGUAACGGCCCACCAAGGCGACGACGGGUAGCUGGUCUGAGAGGACGGCCAGCCACACUGGGACGUGAGACACGGCCCACGACUCCUACGGGAGGGCAGCAGUGGGGAAGUCUUGCGCUAAUGCGCGAAGACGUGACGCAGCGACGCCGCGUGGGGA
rnacentral:rRNA from 1 species